AGUCAUAGUGGAUUGUGAAAACAACCACCAUACGAGUCCCACACUGUCCCUUGGCUUUGAAGGGAAACACUUGGACAACCAUGCUUUUCUAAACCAUCUUUUCCCCUUUUAUUAUUGUCCGGACCGAAGCACUCAAGUCACACAAAGCGGAAGGAUCCCUUAAGAAGGAUAAGGAUUGUGUGACUUAGGUCACAGAUCAAUUUCCUUCUAAUUUAUCUUUCGGGUACCUCAUGUAGUGUUCAACCCUCAAUCAUUGUCACCUCGAAUUCAGUUACAAACAUUAUACCUGCUAUAAAUCAAACCACCACACUUGUAUCUAGUGCAUCAAAAGACUUCAUAAUAUGCCAGAUAGAGAUCUCAUACAUAAAAAUAUAUUUAGUUAAAUAAGUUUUAGUAGUAUUUUGUAUUUGCAUUAAACUGUCCCUUCACCAAAAUCUUUUUGUGCAGGAAAGAGUAAAGAAAAGAGUGAGACAGGCUAUGAUUUCCCAAAGGAACAAAUGCAACUAUGAAAAAGAGCCAGGUCUCAAUCAAUUUGGAGCCACUUGAAACUUCACCUGCUAAUUUUGGAAGAAGCCUUCCAUUUCUUUUCGCUGACAAAGAACCAGGAAGAAUGGAAAUCUUCUACAUCCAAGUAAAUGAAUAUAUGUUAAUCUUGUCCAGAAAGCAGCCAAGAUUGUAAAUGGCUGCCCUCCUUUGGUCUUUGUCAUAUGCUGCGCAAGGAUUUGGUGAAGAGAUAAAGGCAAGAGCAAUGGAAGGAAGUUAGGGUUUGAAGGAGGAGCAAAAAGGAAAGGAGUAGUAAAAGAAAAAAGGAAGGAAACAUUAGGGUUUGGUGGAAGAGAGAAAAGGCAACUUGCCAUUGAAGGAAGCAAGAGUUCGUGGUUGGAGGUAGAGAGAAAAAGGAAAGAAUAAUGUUUUUUCAGGUGAAGAGGAAGAAUAAUGAUUAUUAUUAUUUUUUUAAGGCCUCUAGCAAAUAAACAUAUAUAAAAUCGCAUUUCUUCU